CUGAAAAAUAAUCACAAAAUAAAUUAUCAUCAGCCGCCUCACAAUCACGAUUGAUUACCACAUGACCUGGAAUGGAGCCACCUAUGAAAACUUCAUUAGUAUGGUUUUGUAGAACUUGUUGGAACAUGUAGUUGUUCAUACGUAGCUGAUUUAUUAAAUUAUCAUGGUGUUCUGUACUAGGGAAAAAAUCCAAAUCUAACGAAGAUGAUGACGAAGAAGAAAAAUCUUCAUCAUUAUUGUUAGAACAAUCUCCGAGAUUGAAAUUCAUUUUCAAAGGACAAACCAAAUUACUUUAAUAUGUUUUGAAA
rnacentral:lncRNA from 1 species